rnacentral:rRNA from 1 species
GGAUCAAUUUAUUGGUCGUGCCCCUUGGUACGUACUAAUUUUAUUGGUUUCUCCCUUCUGACGAACCAUGAUGUCGUUAAGUUGGUGUCAUGGGAAAUCAGGACUGUUACUUUGAAAAAAUUAGAGUGUUUAAAGCAGGCUCACGCUUGAAUACAUUAGCAUGGAAUAAUGAAAUAGGACGUUUGAUUCUAUUUUGUUGGUUUCUAGGAUCGACGUA